rnacentral:misc_RNA from 1 species
UGAGGGCCAAAAGGUUAAUUUGGGUGAAAGACUGAAAGUAUUAACUAUAUUCAUCAAGAACAACUGAUUUUGUCCAGUUUUGCUACUUUGGCUGGUUGUGUUCCAAAAUUGGCUAUCAAUUUUGUACAGAAAAUGGAUAAGGUUUAACUCAGCCCCAAAAGCUAGUUGAAGGGGAAGAGGUUUACCUAAAUCUUAUAUUUAGCUCAAA